ensembl:lncRNA LINC01089 long intergenic non-protein coding RNA 1089
AGCGGGCAGUGGGCGGGGGGUUGGGACACGAAGGGCUCUUCGGACCCCUGUGCCUCUUCUGCCCCAAGGGCGAGAAGACGGGCUUCGCAGCGACCCUCGGGGGUCCAUGGAGCCGCCUGCCUUCGCCCCCUCGCUCUUCCCAGGUUCUGGGCCGGAGAAGGGGCGACGUUCGGGCACCCCCCGAAUGGACAAUCUUUCCUUCUGUCAACGGCAGGGGCAGGCCUAGUUUGACUCUGACAGUCCUCCCACUAAGCUUCUGUUGUCAGGCAUUUGGGGCGUGUAAGUCUCUGCCGAAUAUAGCAGCAUACGAGAGGAUCCACUUGCAAGUAUUUCCCAGUUGUGUGUUCUUCGGCGGGGGGAGGGCCCUGGGUGCCGCCUACUUCUGAAAGACACAGGUCACUGUCAGAAAGCCCAACUGUGCUGUGGCCUUCCCUCCAGCCGCCCCCGUGGGGCAUGUGGGGUGACAGUGUGAGCCGUCCU